AGUAACGCGUGAGGAACCUGCCUCAAAGAGGGGGACAACAGUUGGAAACGACUGCUAAUACCGCAUAAGCCCACAGCUCGGCAUCGAGCAGAGGGAAAAGGAGCAAUCCGCUUUGAGAUGGCCUCGCGUCCGAUUAGCUAGUUGGUGAGGUAAUGGCCCACCAAGGCGACGAUCGGUAGCCGGACUGAGAGGUUGAACGGCCACAUUGGGGCUGAGACACGGCCCAG
rnacentral:rRNA from 1 species